UCUUACAGAAUACAUAAAGAAUAGCUGAACCUUUGAUCUGAUAGCAAAAAUUAAUUCCAUAGUUUUACAUGAAUUACAAAUGGUGUAAUCUCAGAUUAUCUCAUAACAAUAUAACAAUGAGAUAAUGCCUCUGUGUACUGUAAUAAAAGAAUUCUAGGGUGGUUCUCUAGAAAUGGAAUUUUGAAAGAAAACUUAUUAGAUGUGUUGUCUUCCUAUCACAGUAGUCAUCUAUAAUGUUGCAGCAACUUGAAAAGUAAUAUUUUCCUGUUUGUGCUUACAGUUGUUUAUACAUUCUAGAUGUAUAUUAAACCUGAUUAAACAUAGUAAUUAUCUUGUUUAUUUAUGGUUCAUAUAGUAGUCUGUAACAGCAGUAUAUUAUGUCCUUUAAAACUGUCAAACUGAUGUUAUUGAAAAGUUUCAAUAACUUUAUAAAAUGCAUUAAUUGAACUUGAUUAAUUUUGUUUCCAGCUUCAUUAAUUUUGCUGCACUGAACUGCAUAGUGAUUUAUCUCUAUGCUCCUAGUACAUCCAUGUCAUUUAGAAUUUUAUUGCCCCCUGCAGUUUCCAAUUAUCUGCAGUUGAUCAUGUUAGUGCUUAUUCUUCUUCCAGUUUGUUGAUAUAUAGUAUAAAGUGAACAUGUGUCCUACCACUGCCUCAUAUGACAUGCCAUUAGUCAUAUCUAUCUAUUUAAACUAAUAUCACCAAAAGGUGUCCUCUGAUUCCUGUUCUGUUCUUGUUAGCCUAUUACCUGCAAAACAUGCUUGCCUUUUCAGUUAAUACUGUUAAUAAACAACACUAAU